rnacentral:rRNA from 1 species
GUGUCAGCAGCCGCGGUAAUACGUAGGGUGCAAGCGUUAAUCGGAAUUACUGGGUGUAAAGCGUGCGCAGGCGGUUAUAUAAGACAGAUGUGAAAUCCCCGGGCUCAACCUGGGAACUGCAUUUGUGACUGUAUAGCUAGAGUACGGCAGAGGGGGAUGGAAUUCCGCGUGUAGCAGUGAAAUGCGUAGAUAUGCGGAGGAACACCGAUGGCGAAGGCAAUCCCCUGGGCCUGUACUGACACUCAUGCACGAAAGCGUGGGGAGCAAACAGGAUUAGAUACCCUCGUAGUCC